CGGGGUGCAGCAGGCGCGAAAACUUUGCAAUGCGGGAAACCGUGACAAGGGAACUCUGAGUGCCCGUUAAAUCGGGCUGUCCAUCGGUUUAAAUAACCGGUGAAGAAAGGGCCGGGCAAGACCGGUGCCAGCCGCCGCGGUAAUACCGGCGGCUCGAGUGGUGGCCACUAUUACUGGGCUUAACGCGUUCGUAGCUGGUUUGUUAAGUCUCUGGGGAAAUCUUCCGGCUUAACCGGAAGGCGUCUCAGGGAUACUGGCAGACUAGGGACCGGGAGAGGUGAGAGGUACUCCAGGGGUAGGAGUGAAAUCCUGUAAUCCUUGGGGGACCACCUGUGGCGAAGGCGUCUCACCAGAAUGGCUCCGACAGUGAGGGACGAAAGCUGGGGGAGCAAACCGGAUUAGAUACCCGGGUAGUCCCAGCUGUAAACGAUGCGCGUUAGGUGUAUCGGUGACCACGAGUCACCGAGGUGCCGAAGAGAAAUCGUGAAACGUGCCGCCUGGGAAGUACGGUCGCAAGGCUGAAACUUAAAGGAAUUGGCGGGGGAGCACAAGGGCGAUUCGCG
rnacentral:rRNA from 1 species